UACGAAGGGUGCAAGCGUUAAUCGGAAUUACUGGGCGUAAAGCGUGCGUAGGCGGUUUCUUAAGUCUGCUGUGAAAGCCCUGGGCUCAACCUGGGAAUGGCGGUGGAUACUGAGAAGCUGGAGUACGGUAGAGGAAGGUGGAAUUCCCGGUGUAGCGGUGAAAUGCGUAGAGAUCGGGAGGAACAUCAGUGGCGAAGGCGGCCUUCUGGACCAGUACUGACGCUGAGGUACGAAAGCGUGGGGAGCAAACAGG
rnacentral:rRNA from 1 species